rnacentral:rRNA from 1 species
CCGGCGACCGGCGCACGGGUGAGUAACACGUAUGGAACCUGCCCGCAGCAGGGGGAUAAGCGGAAGAAAUUCCGUCUAAUACCGCGUAACAACGUUGGGAGGCAUCUCCCGAUGUUUAAAGAUUUAUCGGCUGCGGAUGGCCAUGCGGCGCAUUAGCUAGUCGGCGGGGUAACGGCCCACCGAGGCGACGAUGCGGUAGGGGUUCUGAGAGGAACGGUCCCCCACACUGGUACUGAGACACGGACCAGACUCCUACGGGAGGCAGCAG